rnacentral:rRNA from 1 species
UACGGAGGGUGCAAGCGUUAUCCGGAUUCACUGGGUUUAAAGGGUGCGUAGGAGGGCAGGUAAGUCAGUGGUGAAAUCUUUGGGCUUAACCCGAAAACUGCCAUUGAUACUAUCUGUCUUGAAUGCGGUGGAGGUGAGCGGAAUAUGUCAUGUAGCGGUGAAAUGCUUAGAUAUGACAUAGAACACCGAUUGCGAAGGCAGCUCGCUACACCUGCAUUGACUCUGAGGCACGAAAGCGUGGGGAUCAAACAG